UUUUAUGAUGAUUAUAUUUAUCGACCGGGCGGACAUAUUAGUAUUAAUGAAGAGAUAGCUUUGCAUUAUUAUCAUUCUUUUGUGUACAAAUUUUUUAAAGGAAUGGUAGCUUAGCGUAUUAUUUCUUUGUUGAGAAUUGAUGAUUGGUCAUGAGAUAGCUGAUU
rnacentral:snoRNA from 1 species